UACGAAGGGGGCUAGCGUUGUUCGGAAUUACUGGGCGUAAAGCGCGCGCAGGUGGUCUUUCAAGUCAGUGGUGAAAGCCCGGAGCUCAACUCCGGAAAUGCCAUUGAAACUGUAAGACUUGAGGAUGAGAGAGGUGAGUGGAAUUCCCAGUGUAGAGGUGAAAUUCGUAGAUAUUGGGAAGAACACCGGUGGCGAAGGCGGCUCACUGGCUCAUAUCUGACGCUCAGGCGCGACAGCGGGGGGAUCAAACAGG
rnacentral:rRNA from 1 species